rnacentral:rRNA from 1 species
GAUGAACGCUGGCGGCGUGCCUAAUACAUGCAAGUCGAACGAAGACAGUAGCAAUAUUGUCUGAGUGGCGAACGGGUGAGUAACGCGUUGGUGACCUACCCCGAAGAGAGGGAUAACAGUCCGAAAGGAUUGCUAAUACCCCAUGUGGUCGUUUGGAUUAGAUGCCUUAUGACUAAACGGAUUUAUUCGCUUCGGGAGGGGCCUGCGUCCCAUCAGCUAGUUGGUAGGGUAAUGGCCUACCAAGGCGAUGACGGGUAGGGGACCUGAGAGGGUGGCCCCCCACAAUGGAACUGAAACACGGUCCAUACACCUACGGGUGGCAGCAGUAGGGAAUAUUGGUUAAUCUGGGAAACCGGGAACCAGCAACGCCGCGUGCACGAUGAAGGCCUUCGGGUUGUAAAGUGCUUUUUGAAAGGAUGAGGAAGGACAGUACUUUCAGAAUAAGCUUCGGCUAACUACGUGCCAGCAGCCGCAGUAAGAC